GCUAAAUGCUCCACUUUGUUCAUGUUAUCUGCCCUAUUAUGUAAAGGCUGUGUUUUGGGGUAAUUGUAAAAGUAACUUUGUCGUAGUGAUUUGUAGCUUCCACUCUGCUCACAAACUGAACACAACUUUUUUUUUUU